CCGUAGUACAUGCUUGCGAGUUGCGAGUCAAACAAAGUAUUAUUUAAACGUUUCCUUUUUCUAAAGCUAGAUGGCUUUGCCCUUUGAUCAUUUUCGUCUGUCAAAUUAGUCGUGUGUCCAACAGGUGGCGGAGACGCGCGAGUGGUGGUUCUACCGGCAUGAGUGACGGACGCCAUUUUUUCCGAGGCAUUGAUCCAGGUUGAGCAGGACGUCGAAUCGAAUUGUGAAUGAAUGCUCACUCUACAACAAAAUGAAAAUUAAAAAGCCUUUUCUAUUUCCACUUGGCCAAAUCAUCUGAUAACAUGUCUGGCUUGACUGCUGUCCUGCCGAAAUGUCCUGCAAUGCUACGUGUACCGGCCGUACGUCUCAUCCUAUUCUGAAUACUUGACAAAAGAAGUUCCACAGCCAGGUGAAGUCUGAGCUUUUGCAGUGCUGUCUAUCAUGCUUGUGGUCUUGUUGCGACCAGCUGGUGAAUGGUGUGGUGAGCUACUUCCAUGCAGUCUGUGGUGCUGACCUUGAUUGCAGGCAACAUUUGUAACACAGAACUUCACUUCAGCAAUCCAAUCCAGUUCUUGCAUCCAAUUGUGUAGACUGCACGGAAUUCUCAUUUAUAGCUUUGCUGUGAAUGU